rnacentral:rRNA from 1 species
GACGAACGCUGGCGGCGUGCUUAACACAUGCAAGUCGAACGGAAAGGCCCUGCUUUUGUGGGGUGCUCGAGUGGCGAACGGGUGAGUAACACGUGAGUAACCUGCCCUUGACUUUGGGAUAACUUCAGGAAACUGGGGCUAAUCCCGUAUAGGAUCUCCUGCUGCGUGGUGGGGGUUGGAAAGUUUCGGCUGGUGGGGAUGGACUCGCGGGUUAUCAGCUUGCUGGUGGGGGAGCGGCUUACCAAGGCAUUGACGGGUAGCCGGCCUGAGAGGGUGACCGGCCACAUUGGGACUGAGAUACGGACCAGACUCCUACGGGAGGCAGCAGUGGGGAAUAUUGCACAAUGGGCGGAAGCCUGAUGCAGCAACGUCGCGUUCGGGAUGACGGCCUUCGGGUUGUAAACAGCUUUCGCCUGUGACGAAGCGUGAGUGACGGUACUGGGUAAAGAAGCACCGGCUAACUACGUG